rnacentral:tRNA from 1 species
UUUAAGAUAGUUUAAGUUAAAAUUUUAUUUUUGGGUAAUAAGGAUCUUUUAAUAAGUCUUAACU